CACGUAGGGCGCAAGCGUUGUCCGGAAUUAUUGGGCGUAAAGAGCUCGUAGGCGGCUUGUUGCGUCGACUGUGAAAAACCCGCGGCUCAACCGUGUGGUCUGCAGUCGAUACGGGCAGGCUGGAGUUCGGUAGGGGAGACUGGAAUUCCUGGUGUAGCAGUGAAAUGCGUAGAUAUCAGGAGGAACACCGAUGGCGAAGGCAGGUCUCUGGGCUGACACUGACGCUCAUGCACGAAAGCGUGGGGAGCAAACAGG
rnacentral:rRNA from 1 species